ACAGACACUCUCCGCCCGGGGAGCGCCGGGGGUGGGCUGGCAGGGGGAGGGGUGCCGCGAUGGGGGCGUGUGGUGCGGGGAGCUGCGCUUUCCCGGGAGGUUAGCACUCUACGUAUAUGAAUAUCUGCUCCAUGUAGGAGCUCAGAAAUCAGCCCAAACAUUUUUAUCAGAGAUAAGAUGGGAAAAAAACAUCACAUUGGGGGAACCACCAGGAUUCUUACAUUCUUGGUGGUGUGUAUUUUGGGAUCUCUACUGUGCAGCUCCAGAGAGACGUGAAACAUGUGAACACUCAAGUGAAGCAAAAGCCUUCCAUGAUUACAGUGCUGCAGCAGCUCCCAGUCCAGUGCUAGGAAACAUUCCCCCAGGAGAUGGCAUGCCAGUAGGUCCUGUACCACCAGGGUUCUUUCAGCCUUUUAUGUCACCUCGGUACCCUGGAGGUCCAAGGCCCCCAUUGAGGAUACCUAAUCAGGCACUUGGAGGUGUCCCAGGAAGUCAGCCAUUACUCCCCAGUGGAAUGGAUCCAACUCGACAACAAGGACAUCCAAAUAUGGGUGGGCCAAUGCAGAGAAUGACUCCUCCAAGAGGAAUGGUGCCCUUAGGACCACAGAACUAUGGAGGUGCAAUGAGACCCC
rnacentral:sRNA from 1 species